UUAUUGGUGGCCCAGUGGUAGAGCUCCCACCUGCCACACCAGCGGUCCGGGUUCGUAUCCUGGCCAAUGCC
rnacentral:tRNA from 1 species